UAGGUACGUAACAGGACACAUCUGGGCCUGCCCCCCGAGUGAAGGAGAUGACUAUAUCUUCCAUUGCCACCCCCCUGAUCAGAAAAUCCCCAAACCAAAGCGCCUGCAGGAGUGGUACAAGAAGAUGCUGGACAAGGCAUUUGCAGAACGGAUCAUUCACGAUUACAAGGUACCCGGUGCUGAAACAGGGCGUGGCGGCGGGAUGGCGUGUCUUCCUCUCGCGCUCACGCACGUUAGAACUGCGUUCACCUACGAGGAGUAGGAAGGAGAAAGUAAGAGCAUUGGGGCGCCUGGGUGGCUCAGUCAGCUGAGCGUCCGAAUCUUGAUUUCCAGUCAGGUCAUGAUCGCAGGGUCGCGAGAUGAAGCCCCUUGUUGGCCUCCAAGCUGAGCGUGGAGCCUACUUGGGAUUCUCUCUGUCCGUCUGUCCCUGUCCCCUGCUUGUGUUCGCUUUCUCUCAAAAAAAGGAAGAGCGUAGACAAAAGACAUAGAAGCCUUUAUUUGCAGUCCACCGGGAGUUUUAGCUGGUGUUCUGAAAGCCGCGGUACCUGUUGAAAUCUGAUCUCAGCUGUUCGUGUGUCACGACGCACAGCCCCGUCCUCUCCCGGUGGCGUGGCCCCUGCACCUGCUCCCGGGAGCGUCACUCAGUUCCCUCUUCUCACGGACGUGCUUCCUUCACUUUCCAGGACAUUUUCAAACAAGCGACCGAAGACAGGCUCACCAGUGCCAAGGAGCUGCCCUAUUUUGAGGGUGACUUCUGGCCCAAUGUGCUGGAGGAGAGC
rnacentral:lncRNA from 1 species